GUAGUUUGAUUUCUUUAAUUUCUUAUCAAAUCCAAUUUUUUAAAAAGUAGAAAAAAAAGAAAAAAUAAUAGAUAACUACUAUAAGUUAUAAGAUAAGGGCGGAUGUAGCCAAGUGGAUCAAGGCAGUGGAUUGUGAAUCCACCAUGCGCG
rnacentral:tRNA from 1 species